CAGAGUACCGGUGCCCUCUGGGCGCCUACUCCAACCCUUUGUCUACCACAACUGUUGCUUUGGCGGGCCGGGUGCCCACGCACCGCCGGCCCCGGCUGGAGAGCGCCCGCCAGAGGAUACACAAAACACUGCUCACGGUGUCAUCUGAGUAAAAAAAAACAAAUGAAUCA
rnacentral:misc_RNA from 1 species